CUGGCGCGAAGCCAACGCACGGUCCACGCGCGAGAUGUGUCUGUUUUUUUUGUCGGAAAUCUCGAAUAAACGCAACGGGAAGUCUUAAGUUUCGCUUUAAAAAAAAUCCGAGUUGUGACUAAUCGGUUUCCUCGCGAGGAAAUGGGAACUAUUUUUAUAUAAUUCACGCUGUCCCUGACCUAAUCUUCUUUUCAAUAUCUAUACUAUAAACCGAGGCAAUGAAUCUAAUAUCAAAUAACUUUUAUUCACGUCAACAAUCGAAAAUAUAAAAUCCCUAUUCUUGCUUCGUGCAUGUGUCCAACUUUAAUUAUUGCGACAAAUCAAACUUGAAGGUUGGCAGAGGUGAAUUGAAAUCGUUUUGGGCCAAUGUUUUUAAGCUCAACGUAAACUUCGGAGAAACAUUCGUAAUAAAUGCCUUACGCCAAAUUAAACAAGACUGUGCAAAGUGUGAAGUACGGUAUAUACGUAACAUUGCGCAUAAAGAUGUAAUAUUGUCGUCACGUAUGUUGCCAUGGUUGAAGACUGCGAACAUUAGCGGCAACAUUAUAGCAGAUCGAAACAUAAGUAUAGAAGCGAUCAAUAAUAAUACAUCCGGACGAAUUUGUGUGAUUGGCAUCAAUAAUGCCAGCGGUUGCUAUUAAUUGCUCUCUAAAAUUUUGGAUAGAUCCCCCGGAUUGACCAUUUAUUACCGAAUAGCAAACCAAUAAUCGAUCAAAUUACAGCCCAUUUGUAGAAAUUUUUCUCCCUCGUCGAACGUACAUUCUCGAUUUUGCCUCUUUUGUGGUCCCGCAAAGCCUAAAAUGUUUGCGCCAUGUGACUCUUGCGAUAAGAAAAAAAAAAAGAGUAUGAAAGAACGUCCACGAGAAUUAAUGUUGUCUCGUCGCGGUCGCGUGAUACAACUCCGUGUAUCUCUCGGGUCAAGUUGCAGAGACCUUCCACUUUUUUUUUUGCCCGUUUACUCUACUUUCGACUCGCGCAGAUAAAUCUGGAAACACAGAGCGGUUACGUAAUAUCACUUUAUUUCUAUAUGUAAUGCGAAUCUCGCGUUAGCGGGAAGGAAUGACUAUCGGAAAGUGCAUUUAUGUAACGGCGACGCGCGUGCGGAAACCUUGAAGAAUCAUACGCGGUCGCGCGUAUCUCGAAUACACGCAAUAACGAGCCUACGAAUCUUUGUGCUAUUUAAGUACAAAUUACUCGACACGGCGGCACGCACACACAGAAGAGAGAAGACUUAACGUCUCUUUUUCCACGUAUGCGUGCCGCCGGCAUCGCCGUCACGUUUCCCCGCCGCGGUUCUCAGAUCGUGAGAGAGAUUUGCCGAUUGAAAAAUACCCUUUUCCGGAGCGAAAUUGCGAGGAUCGAAAUCUCGACGCGAUCUCGACGAUGGCACCCAAGUUUCGAGAUGCCUCGUAAUGCCGACAGAGAAAGAAAUCACGAUGAAAACAUUAUAGCGCAGGGAUCAUCUUCGCGCGUCUCUGCAGACUCAGCGAAAUUAUAUAUAUCGACGGUAAUCUCGGAGAUUCGUAUGACUGUAUAGUUGAAAAUGAUCCGAUGACAUGACACACAUGGCGCGUGUAAACACACGAAAUUGAGUACCCCGCGUCGACAGGGCUCUCCGGCGCUGAUGUAUCGAUCGCUGACUGCGUUUUCAGCCUUAAUUAUUGUAUGACAAACGUGAUAACGCUUAUCGCUCGAGAGAGAAUGUGUCGCAUCAUACAACGCGGAAAUGACUGUAAAAAGAAAUUGAUGAUUAUUGACAAUUGCGAACAUUUCAGAGUCGCCGUGAAAAUUCGAUCCCGAAAAUCGUAACCGAGCAUCAUGUAUUUUUCGAUUAAUUGGCGAUUAAUUCAAUCGACAUAUAAUUGCCUAUUGGAAAACUUCUAAUAAGUAAUUCGUCGUUCCUAAUCUAAUCUUUCUUUCCACAUGUCGAACGAUAGAAAAUUGAUCGCGUUAACAAGAUAAUAUUUGAUAAAUUAAUCGAUUAAAUUACUCGUCGAUUAAUUAUAUAUAGACAUGCAAAAUUGCUUGCUGCACAAUUCAUUGUAUCCAAUCUAAUCUUUCUUUCUAUGUGUUACUAGAACUCAGAAAUUCUUUUCAAUAAUUCGAUCCGCGUUAGCAGUAAUUAAAAUUACAAAUAUUUUUGUUAAGUCAAUUAUUGUUAAGUUAAUUCAUAGUUAGGAGAGGCGAAAUUAAUUCGAUCGCCAAAAUGGCAGCAAACGCAGCAAAAUGUAUAUUCCAUAUUAUAAGACUAUAAGU